rnacentral:rRNA from 1 species
CGCAUCUGUGCAUGCAGCAUAUCAAUAAGCGGAGGAAAAGAAACUAACAAGGAUUCCCCUAGUAACGGCGAGUGAAGCGGGAAGAGCUCAAAUUUGAAAUCCUAAAGGGUUUCCCUUUACGAAUUGUAGUUUAAAGAAGUGUUUUCUGUUGAGGUUUUGGUAAAAGUUCUUUGGAAUAGGACAUCAUAGAGGGUGAGAAUCCCGUAUUUGACCUUUACUUUCAACUUUGUGAUACACUUUCAAAGAGUCGGAUUGUUUGGGAAUGCAGUCCAAAAUGGGUGGUAAAUUUCAUCUAAAGCUAAAUAUUGGCGAGAGACCGAUAGCGAACAAGUACCGUGAGGGAAAGAUGAAAAGAACUUUGAAAAGAGAGUUAAACAGUACGUGAAAUUGUCAAAAGGGAAGCGUUUGACACCAGUGUUGUUUUUCUGAAAAUCAAUUAAAGAACUGUUUAUGCUAAGUUGUUUAGACUUUAUCAGCUAACUGUUUAGUUUUGAGCUUUUCUUUAAUGCACUUUUCAGUUAACAAGUCAACAUCAAUUUCUUUUGCUGUAAAAAAGCUUGAGGAAGGUGGCUUGAGAUUCGUCUUAAGUGUUUAUAGCCUCUUGCCUAUGCAGUCGGAGAGAUUGAGGUCUGCAGCGUAGAUCCUUCGGGGCUAAAUGCAUUUGUGCUAAGUUAUAACAUUUUAUAGACAACUUGUUGACUAUGAUUUGUCUUGUAGCUUACUCGCUUAUGUUAUUUUACCUACGCUUAGGAUGUUGACAGCAGUAUAGACUGU